AGUCCUCAGAGAGUCCUCUCUCUCGGCAUGGACACAAAAGAAAAGCCAUGUGAGGACACAGAGAGAAGGUGGCUGUCUACGAGCUAGGAAGAAAGGCCUCACCGGAAACCAACCCUCACAGCAGCUCCAUCUUGGACUUCCAGCCUCCGGAACUGUGAGAAAAUAAAUGUUUGCAAUUCAGGUCGGUUGUAUUUUGUGAAGGCCAUCCUAGCAAAUGAAUACUCCUAACAUUGUCUCUUUAAGAGCUCACCAGCCUGAGGUAGGAAUCAUUCCAUCUGUGUUACUAAUGAGACCGCUGAGGAUCAAAGGGGUUUUCCACCACAUCCACUCACCUCUACAUGGCGAAAACCAAGGGUUCACUCUCUGUCUUCAGGGAGCUCCACCCAGCAGCAGCGUUUGACAGAGCUGUUCACUUCCUCUUCCUGGAGCUGUGGCUUCCAGAGCCCAUGCUCAGCAGUUCCCCUCCUUCUUCGACUGCUCCUCUCUUAGGCUCAGAGCCACUCAGACAUUGGGAAGCAAGUUUGUCAAGAUGACAGAGAACCGAGGUAAUGGAUUCGAGUGAUGAAACAGGAAGUUCAUUCAUGAGUUUUUGGCCACACCUCCAAAGUGACGACUUAGCCAGAAAUGGGAUAACUGGGUUUCCCUACUUCUCUUUUAUCAUCCUCAAUGAGAGUGACCAAAUAUUAGAGCUAGAUGGAACCUUAGUGAAAAUCUGGCUACUCGUCCCGUCCCACCAGCCUGCCACCCAUUUCAAGUUUGAAGAGACAAAGACACAUGGACCUUAUGUAAUUACUGGGGAUUACCCCAGGAGUCUGUGGCAAAAGUCAGCUUCUUCCCUCCCUGCUUCCCCGCCCUGUCUCUGGUACUUUCUACCAACACUGGGCUGUUUCUGUGAUCACACUUAAGCGUACCUAACCUGCGAAUGCUGUAUAGAAGGUGCUAAUGAACAUGAUUUAGCUUUAACACUCAGUUUUCUAAAGGGACACGUGGGGGCAGCAAAUGUUUAGGCAAAAACAAUUCCAGUUCUAGCCUCUACUGUCUACAUAUGUGUAUACAUUUGGGAAACGUUUGGGAAAGGGAUAUUUGAGAGCUUCUUUUUCUUUUUUGUGGUUUAGUUAUUUGAUGAUAUUGAGAUUGUUUCUGAGCCAUGUGCUUCAACAUCGGAUUGGGGAUUUCAGAAAAAGUUUUAGUCACUGUGAUUCCAUUUAGCUUCCAAAUGUGUCUCUGCUAAGAGACUUAAAAGCACUCAUAAAUAGCACGUGUGUCUUCUUUGCAGUGUUUGCUAAUUUUGAGUCACAUCUUUUUAGAAAAUCAUGAGAUUUGGUGUCACAGAGACUGGAAUAAAUAUAGUCAAACUUAUUGGUGAAGAUUUCCUUUAGCUGUUUUCAUAAUCCAUUUCCAUUGUUAUGAUUAUUGAUGAAUAAAACAUUUUCUUUAGGUAGAUACUUCUUUUUUCCCCCCACCUUGAUUUAAUGUUUCCACUCUUAUUGUCAAGUUUCUUAUUACUCCCUAAUAACUCUCAAUAAAAUAAUGAUUCCUGGGAGAUUAUUCCUGCUUUCCUACUAUCACCUGUUGAUUUGAAAAGACAGAACAAUACCGUAGAAGCUUCACUAAUACAUUGAAAGAUAAAAUGAUAAUACUAAAUACUAAAAUAUGAAAAGUGAUACUAAAAGUGGAGUCCUGGCACUAGUAUUUUUUUUUUUGAGUCUUUAAAUUUUAUUUAUUUAUUUUUGAAUUUUUUAAAAUUAUAUGUUAUGUUCUGGGAUACAUGUGCAGAACGUGCAGGUUUGUUACAUAGGUAUACAGGUCUGGCACUAGUAUUUUGUUGCCACAAAAUAUCAAGCAUGUAUCCAAACUGCUCAAGACACAUUAAAGACACAGGUAAUCUGUAGGCAUAUUCAGGCUUGUAGUUUGCAUUUUUUGGUUUUCUUGUGGCUUUCAGUGCAAGUUGAGGUAAUUCAUGGGAAACAGUCACCAAAGAAGUGCCAGUAUUAGAAAUCCAAGAGCCAUUUCUCUAGCUUCUUCCAGAAUCAAGACUUUAGAGGUAAUUUCUAUCAACACUGGACAUUUCCUGUCUGCAAUUAACAAUGAACACAUAGCAUUAUGUUUAAUUGCAACCUGUUUAAAGCAGAUUGGAUGCUAAGGUUUAAGAACACUCUUCAGUCAAAAAGGUCUUUUAAUCAGGUUUUUAAUCUUGAGCACAAUCUAGGACACAGCAUCAUAGACUAACUCAUUCGAGAAUAGGUGUUGUCAUCUAAUCCUAACCACCCCCACCACCAACAAGCUGAAUAGCUCUGGGCUCAGUAUAUACAUUUGUACUGGGCUCAGUACACACACCUAAGCUGGGUUCAGUAUAUGCCACUUUAUAGUGAGAGGCAUUUUGUAAUGAGAGCUCUGGGUUCACUAUAUACAUUUGUACUGGGCUCAGUACACACAUCUAAGCUGGGUUCAGUAUAUGCCACUUUAUAGUGAGGGCCAUUUUGUAAUGAGAGCUCUAAGGCUCUAAAAUUCUGUGUUUCUGCUAGUUUCUUCCUCAAGAUAAAACUGUGGAACUCAUAGUGAAUUCCCUCUCUUUGGGCAGUUUGAGCCAGGCCGCUAUUUAAUCACAACAUCACAAGUCAGAUUUUUCCUACCUAGUGUUGGCAGUGGAACACACCAGAACUGCUAAGGCCAAGGAAAUCCCAUUUUUUGAAGAGGCUUUCCUUUGUUAGCUUCUCUUUCUAGUAGUAAAGGUAAAAGAAAAAUAGAUGUUAAAGAUAUAAAUAUCUUAGGGGGUUUUUAUUGGUAUAAAUAUUUGUACACAAAAAGAAUAUGUAAUGUAAACUGGAUAUGUAUUUUUUACAUUUUACUUAACCUGAAUUUUACACAAUCUUUGCUUGAAUGCUCCAACAAUGAAAGGAGAAAAUAUGUAUUUAAACAAUUUUUAAGUAUUUAUUCUUUAUUCAGGACACUUGAGUUUCAUUCAAGCUAUAGUUUUAAAAUGUAAAAAUGCUGAGAAAUUAAAAGCAGUCAAAUGCU
rnacentral:lncRNA from 10 species